CCCCCCCCCCCCCCCGCGCCGCCAGCCCCUCCCUCCUCUUCGUGUUGCCGGCUGUCGCGGCGACGCAGAGUGGCCCAGAUGCGGCCGCCCCGUGGUUGGCUUCGACAAGCACGGCCUCGAUCCGGCCUCAGCAGGAAGACCUCGAGCCGAGGAGCGCGGCCUCGAUCGGGACUCGGCAUCUGGGGCGGCGACGGAGGAGGGGAAAGGAGGGGAGCAGCAGCCAGCAUCGGGACGGCGGCGGCGACUUGACUCCAUAAGCUGGUCGAGGUUGUUCAAGCAAGGCAGGUGGUGGGGUCAAGGGGCAGGGGAGGCGGGCGAAGAGGAUAAGAAGCAGCCGACCCGUCGCGAUGGUGUGAGGCUGCAGGGAAGAGGAAGGAGGACGACGACGGGGUGAAUGAGUAGGUCAGCCCUCAUGGAGACGGCGCCGCCGGCCAGGGGCGCUAUUGGCGCGCUGGAUGUCGUCCUUCUCAACCCGUGCUCGCCUCCCCUCGCUUCUGGCGCCCAGGAGCUCGAGUAGGAAGAGGAGACCUCGAUGGUCUGCGGCUCGCGGAGACCCGCGCAUCCUCUAACCUCGACCAGAUCAGGGAAUUCCUUUCAAUCCAUGGAACAGUGUGUGCGUUAGGCGAUAGCAAGGCCGUCGGACAAUCAUGAUGCUAUUUUCUUAUUUGAAAUCAGAAUGCUACUAGGACAUUAUUAAUUUUGGAAAAUCAGAUCAAACAGGAGAUAUGAUUGGUACCUGGUGAUACAAUUGGAGAAAGGGAUAUGAUAUGUCUGGCAAUGGUUUAGGAAGGUAUUCACUUAUCCGAAACAAAAGCAUAGGUAUGUUCAAGCAAGGAACUGAGCAUGGCAGUUAGGUGGUGGAGUGUCUGUCCUUGAAUUGUACAUAUUUUUUCUCUGAAAGAAAUUCACUGCAUAGAUCAUUCUAGCUAUUCUCGAUGUUUUUAUCUGUUCCAAUCCAAAUUUGAUAUGCCAGUUGCUUGAAAUUCUUGAGACACUUUGCCCUUUGGAGUAGCGGCUUACAGUUAUAAAGAUACCUAUCUUCUGAAUUUGUAUUUAGCCUAUGGAUUAUAGUGCAUUUAUCUUGCCAUUUUUAUUUAGCCUAUGUGCAUUCGUUGUAGUCCCAGCUUCCAUGUUAUGAUGUGCUUGCUUCAAAAGAAUUGUGUGAAUUUAUGUCACCAAAUCAAAGAUAGCCAGUGAUUUUUUGUGAUACACUUUGAUGUAUACUUUCCAAACACGCUUGUUGUAUUUAAGACUUAAUAGUCUACCAAAUCCUGGCAAAAAUAAUAAUCUUAGUUUGAUGCGAUGCGGAACAGUAGCUGCAGGGUUUGGUCUUCCGUCUUAUUUCUUUAUACAUUUGAUUUGUAUUUGUUCCGGAUACAAUUGGUGUUCAGAUUGUUAGGGACGAGGAUCAUCAGUGGCCAUGCAGGAGCAACAACAGGUGAUCAUGCCUAGUUCGUGAAUUUAUUCUCCUAGCUUGGAGGCUUCCUGCUCAAGGAGGGAGCAGCAGGCAUAGAAGAAAUCCCAAGUCAAUUUUGCUCAGCUGUAGCAUCUUCCACUGACAAUAAGUCUGCACAGCAGCCUGGUGAGAGUUUUAAAUUAAGACACGCGGUCAAUUUAUAUGGUCUUCUGAAGUUUCACCUUCCCUUUGUCAUAUUGGUUUGAUCAAAUCAAUGGGAAGCCGGCAUUACUUUCAUGCUGAUGUUCUUGCUCAGUAUAAGCCAACAAUGGAGAAACUGACCAAGCUAUGUUUCAUGAUCAGUUACACAUCAAGCCUAUAUUUUUGCUGCUUCUACAUGUUGCUAUGAUGGUCAUUCAGCCCAUUUUCUUGAACCUGCACUACAACGAGAGAUCUGGGCUGCUUCUUUGUGGCUUCCAAACUUAAAAUGUUUGUUUGGAAGUUAGUUUAGUUUUUUGUUGUGGAUUCACAGCUUCUCACAUGUACCGUCCUCUUAGACCUUUAGAUUUUCAAAGAAACUAAAUGAAGAUAUGAUGGUAUGGUCUUAAUAAUACAACUUAAAGCCUUUCAUGCUUUA